UGAGAAGGUGAAGAUAAGUUUCUCCUCGUGGAGGUAUUCACAUUAUUUUCAACUGGAGAGCAAAGGGAAAAACAACAUUUCGGUAACUUGUAGACUGUGUCCCGGUUCAAAAAUACUUUCUACGGCGAACAACAGCAACAGCUACCUUCUGAAUCACCUGGAGAAGCGGCAUGCUUCGACAAAGUUAGCAGCUAAGGUAGCUAACGCAGCAUCCGAGACCGAGAGUCACAGCAGCGAGCACACACCCUCUCCACCCAAGCAUCAGCGGCUGGAGUUCGAAAGAGAGACCCAUAGCCAGGCACAACUUGAUAAAACAAUAGCACGUGGAAAACGUGCUACCCAUCUGCACAGUGGAGAAACCCUGCUUUCAGACGGAUCAUCAGCAUGGUGCCAUGCACAGGUCACAUGGGAAGCUGGAGCCGAUCCCAGCUGACUUCAGAUGAGAGGCAACAUCCAUGGUGGAGAGGUCACAGUCCAUCAAUGGACCAACAUACAGAUACAAACAACUGUACAUGCACGCAUUUACAACUAUGGUCAAUAUAACAUAAAUGAACCAAACCACAGUCUACAGUACCUCAAGAAAACCCGCAACAUGUGUGUUUUUGUCCAUGUGUGUGUUUGUACAUUUAAUUUCUCUAUGCAAUUUCUAUAUGUAUAUAUAGAUUUAAGUGGGUGGGAAGUUAAUUGAGUUUAAAUUAAUAGCAGAUAUUGGUAAAUCCAUUGUGGGGCUGUGUUGUUAUAACAAAGCAAAUGUAAAUCAGUAGAAUGGUAUCUAUUUAGUAUUCUGUUUAGCAUAGUUCACAGUUUACUGUAUUAUUUAAAGCAAAUGUAUAAAUACACGGAUAUACUGUAUAUGGCAACCAAAAGGUUACACUUUGAGUCAAAUCUGUCUUGUGUUCCUGUGUGAUAAAUUGGGGACACACUUCAGUCUCACCAUGGCCAAAGAUAGACUCUGAAAACACAGUUUCUGUUUGUUCCCACUCGUAAAUAUAGCUUACUCAGUCUGCACUCUAAUUCGUGAAGACAUAUGGCUGGAUUCGUGAUGGCAGUUAAACAGAAAAUGCUGUGCGGUUUCGUUCAGACUGUGAUGCGGCCACGGGACGACGAUGAACAGACAGCGUUGUAUUAUUUUCAGCUAUGUUCCUUUUGACUUUAAUGUUCAAGAUUCAGGCACCUACACACUUUCCCUGCCAAAGGACUGUCCACAUCUGCUGCCGCCAGCGACUCUGCAGUUUGAACACCAGUUUGAUCAUCUGCUCUGAAUUGAAAGGCUGCUCAUUCAAAAAGUUUCACCUUGAGUGCCUGUGCCAAGCCGCUGGUCACGAUGCCUCUCCCUGCUCCGCCU